CAGUCGCCGCGGUAAUACGGAGGGUGCAAGCGUUAAUCGGAAUUACUGGGCGUAAAGCGUGCGUAGGCGGUUCGUUAAGUCUGUUGUGAAAGCCCCGGGCUCAACCUGGGAAUGGCAAUGGAUACUGGCGAGCUAGAGUAUGGCAGAGGGGGGUGGAAUUCCGCGUGUAGCAGUGAAAUGCGUAGAUAUGCGGAGGAACGCCGAUGGCGAAGGCAAUCCCCUGGACCUGUACUGACGCUCAUGCACGAAAGCGUGGGGAGCAAACAGGAUUAGAUACCCCUGUAGUCCCUGUCUCUUAUAC
rnacentral:rRNA from 1 species